AACGAACGCUGGCGGCAUGCCUAACACAUGCAAGUCGAACGAGACCUUCGGGUCUAGUGGCGCACGGGUGCGUAACGCGUGGGAACCUGCCCUUAGGUUCGGAAUAACUCCCCGAAAGGGGUGCUAAUACCGGAUAAUGUCUUCGGACCAAAGAUUUAUCGCCUUUGGAUGGGCCCGCGUUGGAUUAGCUAGUUGGUAGGGUAAAAGCCUACCAAGGCGACGAUCCAUAGCUGGUCUGAGAGGAUGAUCAGCCACACUGGGACUGAGACACGGCCCAGACUCCUACGGGAGGCAGCAGUGGGGAAUAUUGGACAAUGGGCGAAAGGCUGAUCCAGCAAUGCCGCGUGAGUGAUGAAGGCCUGAGGGUUGUAAAGCUCGUUUACCCGGGAUGAUAAUGACAGUACCGGGAGAAUAAGCGCCGGCUAACUCCGUG
rnacentral:rRNA from 1 species